GACGAACGCUGGCGGCGUGCUUAACACAUGCAAGUCGAACGAUGAAGCCCUUCGGGGUGGAUUAGUGGCGAACGGGUGAGUAACACGUGGGCAAUCUGCCCUGCACUCUGGGACAAGCCCUGGAAACGGGGUCUAAUACCGUGUAUACGAGCCUCCUGGGCAUCUGGGAGGUUGGAAAGCUCCGGCGGUGCAGGAUGAGCCCGCGGCCUAUCAGCUUGUUGGUGAGGUAACGGCUCACCAAGGCUACGACGGGUAGCCGGCCUGAGAGGGCGACCGGCCACACUGGGACUGAGACACGGCCCAGACUCCUACGGGAGGCAGCAGUGGGGAAUAUUGCACAAUGGGCGAAAGCCUGAUGCAGCGACGCCGCGUGAGGGAUGACGGCCUUCGGGUUGUAAACCUCUUUCAGCAGGGAAGAAGCGAGAGUGACGGUACCUGCAGAAGAAGCGCCGGCUAACUACGUGCCAGCAGCCGCGGUAAUACGUAGGGCGCAAGCGUUGUCCGGAAUUAUUGGGCGUAAAGAGCUCGUAGGCGGCUUGUCGCGUCGAUUGUGAAAGCCCGGGGCUUAACUCCGGGUCUGCAGUCGAUACGGGCAGGCUAGAGUGUGGUAGGGGAGAUCGGAAUUCCUGGUGUAGCGGUGAAAUGCGCAGAUAUCAGGAGGAACACCGGUGGCGAAGGCGGAUCUCUGGGCCAUUACUGACGCUGAGGAGCGAAAGCGUGGGGAGCGAACAGGAUUAGAUACCCUGGUAGUCCACGCCGUAAACGGUGGGCACUAGGUGUUGGCGACAUUCACGUCGUCGGUGCCGCANCUAACGCAUNANUGCCCCCCUGGGGNUACNGCNCAAGNUAAACUCAANGANUGACGGGGCCCNCCAACNGNGACUGUGNUNAUUNACCACNGAAAACUACAGGUUGCUACCCGAANUCAAAGGNNCCUUNGNCGGNAGNGGCUGGGCCACNGUNNANUGGUAUCCAACCACUUCUUUNAGCUNGGUGNNCGNACNGNAUGGAGGAAAAAUCCUUUGUCCUAGCCANNCGGGAUACNUGNGCCCAGUNAAUGACNNCCAAACNCNGGGGGGNGC
rnacentral:rRNA from 1 species